rnacentral:rRNA from 1 species
AGAGUUUGAUCAUGGCUCAGGAUGAACGCUGGCGGCGUGCUUAACACAUGCAAGUCGAACGGACUUUACAUGAAGCCUAGCGAUUGUAAAGUUAGUGGCGGACGGGUGAGUAACGCGUGAAUAACCUGCCCUGUACCGGGGGACAACAGUUGGAAACGACUGCUAAUACCGCAUAAGCGCACGGUUCCGCAUGGAACAGUGUGAAAAACUCCGGUGGUACAGGAUGGAUUCGCGUCUGAUUAGCCAGUUGGUGGGGUAACGGCCUACCAAAGCAACGAUCAGUAGCCGGCCUGAGAGGGUGAACGGCCACAUUGGGACUGAGACACGGCCCAAACUCCUACGGAGGCA